AAGCAGUUUAAAUACCCUGAGCCCAGGUGGCUCCAAUCACUAAUGACCCUCCUCUGCCUGCAGGAGGAACCGCCCCUGCACUGCAGAGGAGGGGCCGUGACAGUAAGUUAAUGGAGUUAGGUUAGGUUGCUACAUGAACGAGAACAAUUUUAUUUUCAAUGAACAAAGGCUCAUUUUACUUUAGAUGUAUGGUGACUCCAUGUUUGAAUGAACGGACCAACGGGACUGCCAUGGGCAAGUCCCUUGACGGGUACCAGGAAUGGUGGAAGGACAAUCUGAAGGUCACUAAUACUCCACCUGAUGUGGUGGAAGUUGUCGAACCAGAUCAGAACGCCUUCGAAGAUCACCUUCAGGCACGGACUGAGAAGGAUGUGGAGGUUUUUGACCAGGUGAGACUGAACAUGGACAGGGCGCAUGAGAAGGAGAGCCACCUGCUUCGCCAUCUGGGUGAAUGACUUGGCUUGGAAGAAGGAUUAAAGGAAGGCGAGACCGGGGAAAGCUUGGUGCUCUUUUGCUCCUAGCUGGGGUCAACAUCUGUUAAGGGACCAUCCUUUACCAACCCCACUGAUGUAAAAAAUUAGACAGGACCUAGGGGUUCUGCCUAACACCCAGACAUGGAUCCAUCUGAUGUCCUCCAUUACCAACCACCCUCCAACUUUUCAUUACAUCAGCUACUGUUAUUGUCAUGUUGUCAUUCUCUGCUAAGAAAGAGCAAGAAAACUAUCAUACUGGGAACAUAAUGUGAGCUGCACAGAUUAGCUAAAAAUUAUCACUGCAAAUACUCAGAACAAAGAGGGGAGCAGUUCCUGGACUUUGCAGUUUCCCUCUUCGAGUCCACUACCUGUUGAAAAACAAGUGACAGGCAGAACCUCCCAUCCACACAAUACCCACCUCCUCUCUAUUCCACACACCAGAAUUCUGUAUUUUAGUCUAUGAUUGCCAUGUGAGUGUACAAAGAAUCUGAAUGUAAAUUGACACACGUACCAAAAAAAUAUCAAUGGUUAUGUAUUUAAGUCUAAAAUAUUGCUAGAUUGGUUUUCACAGCUGUAAGGUGUUCGUUAUUGUAAAUUCUAACGUAUCCCUUGAUGGUAUUUGUUAAUUCAACAUUAUUAAUUGUAUCAUAAGACAUACAAUAGACAUAUACUCAACCAGUAAUGACCUAUGUUUUUUAAAUCAUAAUUGAGGACUAAAAUUAUUUCAGUGUAGAUAAGGGAAUGCCUGUUUAAAAUGAAAACAUGACAGCCAGACAAGCCAGUGUAUGAAUCAAAUGUAUUUGCAUAUGAAUGGAGUGGAAAUUAGCUCACUUUGUGAUCUGUAAGGUAAGUAACAUUAAUGUGUGUGUUGGGGCAUUGAAAUGAUAUUAUGUUUACACUGAUGCCUGUUUAUUCAUAAAAAGCAGAAGAUGAUAAAUAACAUUAAUCGGAAUGGUUAGCCUAUGCAAAUUAUUAGGAAUACAUUUAGCCUAAUUGGUAAUAAAUAUGACGUGGAGGCAAAUCAGGAUCCUAUUCAGGCUUUUGUUUGUCAAUUCCAGAUUAAAUAUAGGUCUUCACGUGUAUCAAAUCUGUAUGCAAUUGUGGGCUAAAUCAAUGACAAACAGCUUAUAUAUUCAUCAUGAUCUGUGAUCAAAACAGGCUGGGGUGUUUUCGGUUCCGUUUAGUGUAAGAAUAUGAGUAAGAACGCAACUGCACUGAAAUGAAUAGCCUGAUUCAAUGGAAUCUCCUGAAUAAUACAUGUUUUAAUUUGUUAAACUGUUUGGUCGAUGCAUAGACCCACACCAAUUCUAACUUUUUGGUAUUUUGCAUUAGGCAUAGCUCUACAUUGCAAAGCAUUUAAUAAACCAACCACAUUUUCCUGUGAUGUUUAGGCUGCGCAAGAACUUUGAUAGGCUAGUAGACUAUGCUGAAAUAAUUGUGGAGUUAAUCAUUGUUAUAGCCUUGUUCGCUUUAUAUAAUCUGGACUGUUGUUUUUCAUAAAGCUAAGCAAACAAGUGGUAGCAUAUGCUUUUUGCACAUAUCUAUAACAAGGCCUAUAUCCUCACAUACCCCCUCAAUUUGAACCCUGCUUUAAACCAUAAAACAUCUCCACAGAAAUGUAUAGAUGAAGGGUUGCAUGGUUGUGUCUGUUAAUCCGGUAAACUGGGAAGUGGGGGGGAAACGAGGUCAAAUCAUGACAUCAUUGAUUUUCAGGUCAGAGAUUCCGAGUUGGACGACUGUUCAAAACAAAACAAAAAUCCCAGUCUGACCUCGUUUUUUUCAGAGUUCCGGGUUGUCUUGAACGCACUGAAGUCAGAAGUCAGAGAUUUCUGACUUCUGAGUUAUUUUGAAUUCACCACUAGAGACCUAGGCUACCUCAACAAUUGAAAUGUGUCUCCCGCAUUUAACCCAACCCCUCUGAAUCAGAGCAUUGCGUGAGGCUGCCUUAAUCAAAAUACACGUAUUCAGUCGCCCAGAGAACCAGCGUUGGGAUUUGAUUUAGCAACCUUUCAGUUACUUGCCCAAUGCUCUAACCACUAGGCUACCAAGAAGCCCUUGAUUUUCUGCUGAUGGAAGAAAUAGGCAUAUCUACACAGUAAUGGUGCCUGCGAUAUCAACUAGCCUAAUAAUUUUUGUAUUGAGGAGAUAGGCCUAUUUUAGCUAAAUCAACAAAUGAAAUUGAUGAACUAAACAGACACUUAAACUAACACGUAACGCGUAACACAUGUAGGCAUUUUUAAGGAUUUCAUGGUAAGAUCAUUCAUAAUAUACUUAAAUACAAACUGACACGUGACGUGUCAGUGGCAUGUUACGUGACGUGAACACCACGUGAACACUACGUCUACAUGAUGUGUACAUGUCACAUGACGUGAACGCGUCGGCAGCUUGAUGCCUUAGAAACAAACUUGUCUCCAUUGACAGUCCAUGUUAAUUCAUGCCGUUAUUUUAUGACGCUAGGAAGACGUUAGGUGACUUGGUGAGAGGUAUCAGUAGCUUCACAAGGCUUAAUUCUGGCAUGAAUCACCCCCCAUAAGGAACCACUGUAGUCUGGGCUGGCAGCCUUGCAAGGGUUAACACGUUUAAAUGUCUUACUCACGUCAGCCCGAGAAGGGGGGCACAGUCCUUGGUGGCGGGCCGCGUUGGUGGCACUGUAUUAUCCUCAAAGCAGGCAAAGAACGUGUUUAGUUUGUCUGGAAGCAAGACGUUGGUGUUCGUGACGUGGUUGGUUUUCUUUUUGUAGUCCGUGAUUUCCUGUAGUCCCUGCCACAUCGGUCUUGUGUCUGAGCCGUUGAAUUGUCCCUAUACUGAAGUUUCACUUGUUUGAUUGCCUUGCGGGGGGAAUAACUACACUGUUUGUAUUCGGCCAUAUUCCCAGUCAUCUUUCCAUGCAUCUGAAACUUUACACAAUGCUGCACAGGGUGGGAGUUACCAUUUUUCUCACUCUAUACAGCAGAAAAAUCUAAAUGUGACAACAAACUGACAAUAUCACCCUGCAAAAAUAAUUCUCUGCUGUACUACUACUGUAAGAGACAUUGCCAAACAAACUGAGGAUACGAUUCCAUGUUUGCCGAUUCUGUCCUGGGCUGCCAAUCAUGAAUAACAAAGGGUUGAAACUAGAGACAGGAGUAGCAGUGGUCAUGUCAGUCUGUUGAUAUUAAAUAAAGCAUUACAGGUCAUGUCAAGAGCAUUGUGAUGAAGGAUUGCCAUAGGCUGAAUUGAGAGACUGGGCUAAAAAGUUUAGUCCCAAUGUAGAAGAUUUAUUUUCUUAAAAAUUCUAACUUAACAAAAAAUACUUGAGUCCUUUUAGCUCUUUGUAGAGCAAAGGCACAAAAAUAACAAAAGCAAUAUUUUCUCAAUCCUGACAAACAAUAUAGUACUGCUGACUAACAAAUGCAAUAUGUUCUCCAUCCUGACAAACAGUAUACUACUGCUGACUAACAAAAGCAAUAUGUUCUCCAUCCUGACAAACAGUAUACUACUGCUGACUAACAAAAGCAAUAUGUUCUCAAACCUGACAAUGUACUAAUGCUGACUAAAAAAAACACAAACACAUGUAGCUUACUGGGUUUAAACCAGUGAAGCAUGUUGAAAGAAUAACAAUUUUAACUUUACCUUUCCGUUUGACUUCAAAAUCAUCAUCAAAUCAAAGUUUAUUGGUCACGUACACAGAUUUGCAGGUGUUAUGGCAGGUGCAUGUAAAAUAUUGUGUUACUAGCUCCAACAGUGCAGUAGAAUGUCUCGCAAAUACAAUUCAAAUACACAAUCAUGAAAACAAUCCAAACAACAAAUCAAGAAAUAGCCAUCCUAGUAGAUCAUCAUCAUUCUAGUAGUAAGUUUAUUAGAACAGGGGAGUGUGGUAGUAAGUUUAUUAGAACAGGGGGUGUGGUAGUAAGUUUAUUAGAACAGGGGGUGUGGUAGUAAGUUUAUUAGAACAGGGGAGUGUGGUAGUAAGUUUAUUAAAACAGGGGGUUGUGGUAGUAAGUUUAUUAGAACAGGGGGUGUGGUAGUAAGUUUAUUAGAACAGGGGGAGUGGUAGUAAGUUUAUUAGAACAGGGGGAGUGGUAGUAAGUUUAUUAGAACAGGGGGUGUGGUAGUAAGUUUAUUAGAACAUGGGGAGUGUGGUAGUAAGUUUAUUAGAACAGGGGGAGUGGUAGUAAGUUUAUUAGAACAGGGGAGUGUGGUAGUAAGUUUAUUAGAACAGGGGGUGUGGUAGUAAGUUUAUUAGAACAGGGGGUGUGGUAGUAAGUUUAUUAGAACAGGGGGUGUGGUAGUAAGUUUAUUAGAACAGGGGGUGUGGUAGUAAGUUUAUUAGAACAGGGGGAGUGGUAGUAAGUUUAUUAGAACAGGGGAGUGUGGUAGUAAGUUUAUUAGAACAGGGGGUGUGGUAGUAAGUUUAUUAGAACAGGGGGGUGUGGUAGUAAGUGUAUCAGUAGAGGGGGGUGGGGUAGUAAGUUUAGCAGAACAGGGGGUGUAGUAGUAAGUUAAUCAGAACAAGGGGUGUGGUAGUAAGUUUAGCAGAACAGGGGGUGUGGUAGUAAGUUUAUCAGUAGAGGGGGGUGGGGUAGUAAGUUUAGCAGAACAGGGGGGUGUGGAAGUAAGUUUAUCAGUAGAGGGGGGUGGGGUAGUAAGUUUAGCAGAACAGGGGGGUGUGGUAGUAAGUUUAUCAGUAGAGGGGGGUGGGGUAGUAAGGCCAAUAGCAGUCCACCAUGUCUUUAGCCUCCUCGUAUGUGGUGAACUCACAGUCGGGGGAAAAUUGUGGCGUUCCUGGCUCACAGAAUCUCAGAUGGUGUCUCAAAUUGUACCUAUCGAAGGUCAACAUCUGAGAGGAACAGAAUUUUUCAUCAUCUUAAGUGAUAGCUAGACUUUUGAUUGCUGAUUGUAAAGUCUUGCUGCUUUGGCAACAUUGUUGUACCUUUAAAAGUUAUACCCACAAAGCAGUUGUCUUAAAAACCUGUCCUGGAGAGAUACAGGGUGUGCAGGGUUUUGUUCCAGGCACCAGUUACACACAGAUUACACUAAUAAAGGUCUUGAUAAUUAGUUGAUUAAUUGAAUCAGACGUGUUAGAGUUGGGCUAAAACUAAAUCCUUUACACCCUGUUAUUUUCCAGUACAAACAUUGUUGAUCCAAUCAAUAAAGUUGAUGUGAAAUCUGACCUGUGAACCGUCCAUGUGGAACGCUACAGCAAUGUUGUCCCAAACGUAGAACUGGUGUUUCUGUGGAUCAGGGAUCAGGUGGGCUACAUCCUGGUUCUGGUAGGGCUUUGGCACCAAUUUCAAGCUGUGGAAAGGAAGUAAAAGUCUGAGUCAAUUGUAAUUAAUGCAUCCCAUGCUAUAAUUGAGUGAUUUUUUUAUCUAUUAUUGCUAUAUUACAUC
rnacentral:lncRNA from 1 species